UGAUGAUUUUUUUAUUAUUUAUUGGACUUAUAUGUUUUUUCAGCAGACACCUCAUGCGUACUGCUACAUUUCACUCACACUUGAUAAUUGUUAUUGAUUGAUGCAUGUUCUCACAAUACCCCAUGUAAAAAAUUGUCUAUUUAAGAAGAAAAGUCCUUUUUUCUGAUCUUUUUUUCUUGUUUUCAACAGAUCAGGUCAUUAAGGAAACAGAUUUGAAUGAAACUGGAUGGAGUCACAGAUCAGGUCAUUAAGGAAACAGAUUUGAAUGAAACUGGAUGGAGUCACAGGUUUUAAACUACCAUCAAACGUUCCUAAGAUAA